CAGACCACCACUCCAUUCACUUCUCCAUUGUAUCACAAUCAGCCAGACCCCAGUCUCAGAACCUGGUCAAACACUGCUCAUUAAAAGACACCAUUGGAUGUAAAAAAUCACAUACGGCUCUAAGGUAACUAAUGGGCACCCGUGAAGACCCCAGCUCCUUAGUCCGACUCUACAACAAAACCAUGAGAUAUACUCUAGAAAGCAUUGAACCA